rnacentral:lncRNA from 1 species
UUGAGGUUAUGCAACAUGGAGCAACAAGAGUGCAAGGCAACACAAUCAGAACAACUGAACUGAAACAUAUUAAAUGGUACGACACAUGCCAAGGAGUGGUUUCACUAUUGUCCAAAAGAAGUAACACAUUUUACUGACAUGUUGGACAUCAGGCAUGAUAAAGACAAUAGGUUCUUUGCAGUCUGAUAAUUGUCUGUUCCAGUGCAACAUAAUUGUCAUUGAACUGCACUUGACUAACAUAGAGAACAUGAGAACAAAAUUACAUGUUGAACCUGCUAGUAUUUUCUUAUUGACACAUCCAUAUCAUAGUGUACCAGCAUCACAUGUCUAUGUCCAAGCAACUCAGGCAUGCCUCCGGUCCUAGUAACAAUCCUUCUCUGAUAAGCCCACGUGCACACCAUAAUUACUCCAUACAAGUACAACACAUCCAGUGAUCGCUCCACUAUGAAUAGCUUUUGAGAAAACGGAACUUUUCAAGUCAGAGGUAAGAAACACAGAAACAAUAUCAAAGCAAAAUAAAGAAGAAUACUAACCAGAUGAUGUGAAGCAAGCAUAUGUCGUGAAACCAUGAACUUGUGUGGUAUCACCACAUAUUCAUCUUAUGAUUUCGUCAUAAGAAGCUUGACUGAACCAAUACUUGACUUGAUGUCUGGUCCGCUAAGCUCCAAGGCCAAUACAUUUCUUUAAUAUGCUGCAGUACUUCUGUAGCUUGGCAUCAAUUCUUUUCAGCUCACCUUCUCUUUGAGUGUAUGGGAAUAAACCAGCUAAGCUGGCCCCAAUCGUCAGAUUCACUAUUUCCAGCAUAGCCAUGCCAAAUAUUUUGUCAGCUCGCCCAGAAAAAAGACCCACUACUACUGCUCAUGAUUGUACUACUGAGCUACAAGCCUGACAUAUUGCAUAUGUGAUGCUUGGGUCUUUUGCACAACUUCAUAUGCCAGACACUACAUGUACAUCACUCAAUUGUUGGCAUUAUAGCUUCUACAUAAACUAAUAAUGCAAUAAUUUCACACAAGCAUCUCAUAUUUCCCCUUUUUAUCUUCCAUUUUCUAAAAUCACUAAACACUACACAUGGCCAUAGAUCAAUCAAGCUCCCUUCGUCAAAUUAGCAACAAAAAUAUCAGGAAAAUCAAUCUGCACACUUGCUUAAGAAUGCAGUUAUGGAAAGCAUAAAUUAAGGGCAACAGCCACAUUUCUUCUUACUUUGUGAGGUGCAAGCUACUUUUCAAAAAGGAGGAAAAUCAUGGUGUAGGGGCACUCAUGCGGUACCAAUCUAAACUAACAUAACAUUUAAUAAUUUAAACAACAUAAAUGCCUGCCCCCCUCCUAGCCCUGUCUUGACAAAUCUUUCAGCAAGUACCCUGAAAAUGAGGCACAGCCAGAUGUAUUUGUCAAGGUCCCCUGUACCUUAAUGGUACAACUCCAGGGGGCUGCAUGACUUUACUGAAACACAUGGAGCCCAUCCAUGUGUGAGCAUGUGCCUCUGAUACUGCAAUUUGGACUGUGCACCAUAGCCAAGUAUCAGCUGAAGUGGCAGCUAUAAACACAACCAACUGCAACGACAAACACAUCGCACCAAGCCACUCUGCCACUGAUGGUUGAACUGUGGCACAAGCCAUAUCUUACCACCUCAGGCACAUUAGGCAAAUGACAAAUCAUAAUAUAUAGCACCAUGAUCAUUAAUUUUGCAUUAGUAUGGGAAUGACGCCCAUGUGGAAUACAGAACCAAAAUGUAUACAGUUUCACAUCAUGGUAUUUUCAAAGGAUUGAUAACUUCGUUCAAUACUUUACAGAAAACACCAGGAAGAGGUUGUCCAGACUGGGGAUUCCAGCUAAACAGAAAGCUUUGUUUAAUGGGUCCCUUGUUUAAUUGAAGUCGCACGGUAUUGCCUAACUUGAAAAGCAGUGUGCAACCAAAUUCUGACUAAAAUUAGUAGUUAUCAGAAUUCAUAACCUCUGAGCAUGAUCGAUUUUACUUAAACUUAGGUCUGCUGAUGAUAAUACUCUAUUACACAGCUAUAAUUAUUAAGGAGAUACAUAUACCUAUUAAAUUUUGAUUACUAGAGAAAAUAAACUGGUACUUAACUGAGGCAUUGUCACCUUUCAGACUAUUCAUCAGCAACAUAAAAAUGCAUCAAGUAACAGGGGUUAUUCAGCAUUCCUGUUGAAACACCUUUUUUACCGUUUGCCUUGAUGUGAAAGAACUAAGAAGCAAUGGUGUGCAUUCUUCAAUCCAAUUUAUUGUUCUGAGUGUGGGUAUGUCUAACAAAUAAUUCGCAUACAAAGUUAAUCUGUAGAGUCUGUGUAUAUAAAACAAUGGAACUGAGAAGCUGAUCCCAGGUCAACAUCCAGUCAUUCGGCCACUCUGCCUUGUUGUGGAAAGAACAUUACUAGUUACAGGUCAACCCACUAUUGGUCUGAAUCUUUACCAACCAUGGUUAUUAUAUAGAAAUAGAACAGAACAGAUGUCUUACUAGAAUAUAUAGAAUUUGCACUUUUCUGAGCAUGGCCAGUAUCUUCCAUCAACAACCACAGAAACUGCAAUUUUAGCACUCAAUGUAAAGGGGGGCAGCCCCAGUGCAUGUAGCUCCCGCUUGCGCAGGGUCUGGGGAAGGGUCCGACCACUUUGGGUCUAUUGUACGCAGCCUUUCCCUACAUUUCUGCAAGAGGCUGUUUCCAGGACUUGAACCCGUGACCUCAAUGUAUUGCACUCAAUGUAGCACUCAAUGUAUUGCACUUUUUUUUUAAAAAAAAACAGUACAAUCUCAAAAUAAAGUAAACAACAGAAGAUUAGACGUGCAUCUCAAACAUUACAAUGUGAACUCAUAAUCCAAAAAAAUUCCUGACUCAUACCAACAUUUCAAUGUACAGAGAGAAAAUCAUGCUUAUUAUGUAGGUUCGAGUACGAUUCUAUAGCAAGAGCAGCCUCCGUAUCCUUGUAGAUCACACAAGGAAAAUGCAGGUAUGAGUCAUGGCCAUGAAAUGUACCACUCCAAUAAUGUUCAGCAAAUUCUGUGGUCAUAUAUGAACAAUGCUUAAUAGGACAAAAUCUCAUUAUUGUCUCUGCUUGCCCCCACGAGUGCAUGAGUCGUACGGACUAGCCACAUUAGACCCAAACAUUUAUCACAUGGGUAGAGCAAUAAUGAAAUUAUGUCAAGAAUUAGGCUAUGCACUUUUCAUGCUGCCAACUGAACUAGAUCAUGCGCUUUUCAUGCUACCAACAACCAGAAGAAAGCAAUGUAACAAGCUCACAAAAAAAGCAUUACUAGAAUCAAACAAUGCUGGGAGUCACAGGCGGGUACUGGCUCUUACCAGGGCACCCUAAAAUCUGCAAAUAUCUCUUGAUGGAGAAUGGAGAGAACAGGGGAAAUACUACAUGCCAUCUCAGAUUCUCACUUGAUGAGGUCAAGCCGGCGCAUAAAAGAAAAAGGGAAUUGAACCUGUGCAUAAACCAUGAGCAGAAAACCUGCAAUACUCCUAUGGAGACAAAGCCCAAAGGGCCCAAAUCAGCAAACACUAUCUCCAAUUUUCAUUAUAAUAGAAGAAGCCCUGCCUUAUGAACAGUACACAGAAAUCAUAUCAUAUACUCGUUUUCAUUCAAAAAAAAUAUCAUAUGCUCGUAGAUCAGAUUCUGCCAUACAUCCAGGCCUCAUUCGAGCAAUUCAGUAAGCUCGAGGUACGUUUAAUUAGGAACUGCUUGCGCCCAAAUCCCUAAGCUCCUAAAGAACAUUCGCAUCAGGUAAUCUUCGCGCCAGUUCCUACUUCCUAGUUCCCAAGAGGACGCGCGGAGGAGUACGAACCUAGGUGAAUGCGGAGGUCGGCGGGGAACUGCCGCACUGGCAGCGAGCGGAG